GCUCCUCUGCAUCAGUUUUUCUCCAGAACAGACUACUCAAAGAUGAAAUACAGUACCUAAAAGUUACUUGGUAUCUUGAUAAUCAUUUAUCAAUUUUUUGUAUAUUCUUUAACAGGACUGAUAUUAUUCUGUAAUGUGAUACAGUACUGACCAUGGCCUCCUAUCCUUCCCACCCCAUAAAUCAACAUAAUUUAUCAUAUCAGUUGUGAACAAGAGCAUUGAAUUGAACAAGUCUAAGGUCUAGGCCAGACUUAUUUCAGAAUUGAGUAGGCAUACAUCCAACCUUGCAAACAUGUUAUUGCUCCUGUUAAUUAGUUGUUUCAAGUCCAAGCAAUACUUGUUUGCUAACUCAGACUGUGUAAUCAAUCUCUAGUUCUGCAAUCAAUCUGGUUUGUCAUCAAAAUAAUCAGUUACUAUAAAUCAACAAUACUGUGAAUUUGUUCCAUGAAGGUUUGCCAUAUGAAGGUGCACAAUUUUAAAACCGAUCCACAGCAUCAAAGAUCAUCAGUCUACGCUCUCUCAGAAGGGUCUGCAUACUAGGCAGCACAGCAUGUUCAAGGACACUGUUGUUGGUAACUUUGUCCCUCCGAGAGAUCCAGAGGAUGCAUCUGAGACAGCGCAGGUGAAAGGUGUUCAGCCUCUUUUCUAGACUUCAUCAGCAAUAUUGAUCGAUCUUGAGAGUACACAUGCCAAGUAUUCUUGAGUUUCCACCAGGACUUACAUGACUGACAGUAAGUGAAAACUGAGAGGAAGCUACUGACAUGAUGAAGGAAGGAAGCCCUGAACACCGCCAGAGACGGAAGAACUUCAUUGCUGCCUUAAACACCAAUGGUGUAACAGCAGUAAGUCAAUAUUGAAGAAACAGACAGAAGUAUUCAACAGAGAACUGGGCAGCAUGAAAGGAAUCAAUGUUAAAAUGGCGAUUAAGCUCAUCACAAUACCUGUCCGGAUGCGGUUAAUCCAAAAGUACUGUUUCAAUUGGAACGAC